rnacentral:rRNA from 1 species
ACCCGCACAAGCGGUGGAUGAUGUGGUUUAAUUCGAAGCAACGCGAAGAACCUUACCAGGUCUUGACAUCCCGAUGCUAUUCUAGAGAUAGAAAGUUACUUCGGUACAUCGGUGACAGGUGGUGCAUGGUUGUCGUCAGCUCGUGUCGUGAGAUGUUGGGUUAAGUCCCGCAACGAGCGCAACCCCUAUUGUUAGUUGCCAUCAUUCAGUUGGGCACUCUAGCGAGACUGCCGGUAAUAAACCGGAGGAAGGUGGGAUGACGUCAAAUCAUCAUGCCCCUUAUGACCUGGGCUACACACGUGCUACAAUGGUUGGUACAACGAGUUGCGAGUCGGUGACGGCGAGCUAAUCUCUUAAAGCCAAUCUCAGUUCGGAUUGUAGGCUGCAACUCGCCUACAUGAAGUCGGAAUCGCUAGUAAUCGCGGAUCAGCACGCCGCGGUGAAUACGUUCCCGGGCCUU